rnacentral:pre_miRNA from 1 species
GCAGAGUCGCACUCCUAAAAUGUUAAAACGUAGCAUUUAUUUUUCAUCAUAAAAAAAUAAAUGCUACGUUUUAACAUUUUUGGAGU